UUGCAGAUGAUGAAAAAACUUAGAUUAUUUUUGGGCUGAUUUAACCAUGAGGCUCCAAAAUCGAGCUUUUUAAAACUGAUGUUCU
rnacentral:snoRNA from 1 species